rnacentral:rRNA from 1 species
GACGAACGCUGGCGGCGUGCCUAAUACAUGCAAGUCGAACGAUAGCGACCGGUGCUUGCACUGUUCAAUCUAGCGGCGGACGGGUGAGUAACACGUGGAUCACCUUCCCAUCAGAGGGGGAUAACAUCCGGAAACGGAUGCUACAACCGCAUAGGUCUUCGUACCGCAUGGUUUGAAGAGGAAAAGAGGCGCGAGCUUCUGCUGUCGGAUGGACCCGGUGUGCAUUAGCUAGUUGGCGAGGUAACGGCUCACCAAGGCCAUGAUGCGUAGCCGACCUGAGAGGGUGAUCAGCCACACUGGAACUGAGACACGGCCCAGACUCCUACGGGAGGCAGCAGUGGGGAAUAUUCGGCAAUGGGCGCAAGUCUGACGGAGCCACGCCGCGUGAGUGAAGAAGGUUUUCGGAUCGUAAAGCUCUGUUGUUAGGGAAGAAUAGCAGCAAGUGAAACUGUUGGCGUCUUGACGGUACCUAAAGAGAAAGCAACGGCUAACUACGUG